rnacentral:antisense_RNA from 26 species
GGCGUUUGUAGUAGUAACUUACUGCGUUCUUGGAUAUCGCCGCCGAUGUGAUAAGGCAAGCCACAGUUGGCAAAUGAAACAAACGGGCCACGUUCAAACAUGAUGAUUUCGGCAUCUUCGCUCAGACGACGAGCACGCGCCGCCGCAGAUGCACCACCUGCAACACCAC